UGGAGGCAGCAGUGGGGAAUAUUGGACAAUGGGCGCAAGCCUGAUCCAGCAAUACCGCGUGUGUGAAGAAGGCCUGAGGGUUGUAAAGCACUUUCAAUAGGGAGGAAAAAAGUAGUCUUAAUACGGCUGCCCUUGACAUUACCUAUAGAAGAAGCACCGGCUAACUCCGUGCCAGCAGCCGCGGUAAUACGGAGGGUGCGAGCGUUAAUCGGAAUUACUGGGCGUAAAGCGUGCGUAGGCGGCCUGUUAAGUCAGAUGUGAAAGCCCUGGGCUCAACCUGGGAACGGCAUUUGAAACUGGCAAGCUAGAGUUAGGUAGAGGGGAGUGGAAUUUCAGGUGUAGCGGUGAAAUGCGUAGAUAUCUGAAGGAACACCAGUGGCGAAGGCGGCUCCCUGGACCCAAACUGACGCUGAGGUACGAAAGCGUGGGUAGCAAACAGGAUUAGAUACCCCUGUAGUCCC
rnacentral:rRNA from 1 species